AAUAAAUACAUGACAAAAUGAUCUUGCUGUCAUUCCGAUAUUUAUGUUAGUACUAUACUGCCAUCUAGUGGUAGAAAGGUGAACCCUUUUUAAGGCCUCUUACUUUGAAAUCGUUCAAUAUCUAGAUUAAUGGGCUCAUUGAUGUAGAACACGAAUGGUGUCAUCUUACACUUGAUACCUGUGUGUGAGUGUGUGUCUGUGUGUGUCUGUCUGUGUGUGUGUGCGUGUGUGUCUCUGCCCGUGUGUGUGUGUACGUAUGUGAGUGUCUAUGUGUUUCUGUGUGUGUGUGUGUGUGUGUGUGUGCAGCAGGUGUCUCUGACCGCGGGUACAGUCUGCAGAGCUGUGCUCCAGCCUCCUCGUCAAAUCCCAGCGCCGCGAAACUUCAUAUAUAUAUAUAUAUAUAUAUAAUAUGACAAAAUAUUCAUAAUAAUUAUUGAAAAUCUUUUUUCUCCAAAGUAAGAGGUUUAGUCCACUCACGUGGAGCCCAUUUAUGUAUUUGUUGAAUGAUUUCACUCUACACUUGAUAACAUUGACGCUAAUUAUUAUGAAUAUUUUGAUAUCAUUUCUGGAAACAAUCUUCAAUAUGUUGAAUGUUCACUCAAAACUCUAAAACCAUUUCUGUUCUCAUUGUUUUGCUCCAUCAACGACGAGCCGGCUAGCCGGCGGGAAUGCCGCACCUUGAACGAAAGCCUCGCGGAUGCCGCGUCUCGAGAUGGAGCCGGGGGUCUGGAGCGAGAGGCGCUCUGCCACUGAAGCCAGCAGCCGGCUGCAGCAGGUGUCUGUCCCGCGUGCUUUUCUCCGUUAACGACGUGACUGACGGCGAGCGCCAUGGGAGCCGGCGGGAAUGCCCCACCGUGAACGAAAGCGUCGCGGAUGCCGCGUCUCGAGAAGGAGCCGGGGGUCUGGAGCGAAAGGCGCUCUGCCACUGAAGCCAGCAGCCGGCUGCAUGCUUUGCUCCGUUAACGACGUGACGGCGAGCGCCAGGGAGCCG